rnacentral:rRNA from 1 species
CUACGGAAGGCAGCAGUAGGGAAUAUUGGACAAUGGGGGCAACCCUGAUCCAGCAAUGCCGCGUGAGUGAUGAAGGCCUUAGGGUUGUAAAGCUCUUUCGCGCGCGACGAUGAUGACGGUAGCGCGAGAAGAAGCCCCGGCUAACUUCGUGCCAGCAGCCGCGGUAAUACGAAGGGGGCGAGCGUUGUUCGGAAUUACUGGGCGUAAAGGGCGCGCAGGCGGCCUUUCAAGUCAGGCGUGAAAGCCCCGGGCUUAACCUGGGAAUUGCGCUUGGGACUGAGAGGCUUGAGUACGGGAGAGGAGAGUGGAAUUCCCAGUGUAGAGGUGAAAUUCGUAGAUAUUGGGAAGAACACCGGUGGCGAAGGCGGCUCUCUGGACCGUAACUGACGCUGAGGCGCGAAAGCGUGGGGAGCAAACAGGAUUAGAUACCCCGGU